GAUGGUUUGUUUCUGCUUUGAUCGAUGCUGGUGGUGAUGUGAAUUUUAGGGAUCUAUCAAAUGGGAAAAUUUUGUUGUUUGCAGGCUGCACAAUCGUUGAAUCCCUAAUAUUAACAUUUUUGGGAGUAUGGGAUGAACCAGUUGACCGUGGGGGUUAUUAUAAGUGUGAUGUUUCAAAUUUGAACUUCCUAUUCUAGUUAAUAUCCAAUUUUACUUGUAUUCGUUAAAUUUAUUAGACAUGAAGGUAUGUUAAUUGUGUAUUUGUUGUUGAUAUUAGAAAUGGAACAUUUGCGUAAAUUCAAGGGCACUUGAAAGGUUUCCAGGGUAAGAAACACUUGGAGGAUUUCUGUUAGUUCUCUUCGCAACCUAGUUUUGCUGAAAUCAAACAAAAGCUCCUUGACAUUUUUUCCGUACCUGCGUACAUGGCACGAGAAAAUGGGGUGCAUAUGGAUGAACUGGCGGAACACCUUAAAGUUCAAG